AAAAGAAUUUGAGAGACCAUUCCUUCCUCAAAAAUUAGCUAUCUCUGUACUUUAUUUUCUAUGUAUUUCAAAGCAAUUCUCUGCAGCUACUUCUAUUAAACAAUUGUCCAGCCUUAUUUAUUGUAGCCUUUCACUUCUGCAGGUCGCAGAGUUGGACAGAAUUUGGGAAAAAAGGUAUCGGUGAUAUGCCACCUCCAAGGACAUAGCUUGGGAGGACUAGAGGCUGAAGGCUUUCUUUUGUUACAUUUAUGCUAAAAUGUUUAUUUAAGCCAAGGGCUUUACAUGUAUAGAGCUAGGACUCUUUCUUUUGUUAUAACCAAGUGAUAGCUUGGAAAGAUGUAAGCCCGUAGGGCAUUUAUUUUGUUGUAAUCAAUUAGUGUUAUAUGCUGUAGUUUCAUAACGAACAUUUAUGAAAGUAUAAGGCAUGUAAUAUCUUUUGAAAUAUUAACUCUGAUGAA